GGCCCGCACAAGCGGUGGAGUAUGUGGUUUAAUUCGACGCAACGCGCAGAACCUUACCCAAUCUUAACAUCCCGUGAACGAUACAGAAAUGUAAUGGUGCCCUUUUGGGAACACGGUGAUAGGUGCUGCAUGGCUGUCGUCAGCUCGUGUCGUGAGAUGUUCGGUUAAGUCCGGUAACGAGCGCAACCCCUAUCCUUAGUUGACUUUGGUGACUCUAAGUAGACUGCCCACUAGGAUAGUGGGAGAAAGGUAAGGAUGACGUCAAGUCCUCAUGGCCCUUAUGAACUGGGCUACACACGUGUUACAAUGGUAAGAACAAUGAGAAGCGAUCUUGUAAAAGUGAGC
rnacentral:rRNA from 1 species